UGAUUGAUACUAGUAGCACUAACAAUUCUAUGGACAGUGAGACUAUUGACCGAUUGGCCCACCAUAUUGAAGACUAUGACAGAUUCGAAGUAAAGAUCAUUGAUGGACAGAUUUUCACUUGUGAUAGCAAAGGUUUAAAGAUAAAAUUGAUUAUACAGGGUCAGAAGUUUCAUGCAACGAUUACUACACUGAAAGAUCAACCUGUUGCUUACACUCUCAAAAAGUGGAG
rnacentral:lncRNA from 1 species